UUUGUAGUUCAGGAUUUAGAGAACAUGAAAGUAAACUAGCUUCUGAUAUGAAUGGAAUCUUUUAAGGAAUUUAGAGAACUUUUGGGGAAUUCAUGUGUAUGGAUAGCGAGUGAACAAAUGCGACUUCAGUAGCUACAUUGAUACACUACAAAUCAAUUCAAACAUAUCCUCCUCGCUUCGGCACCCCCAACCAACAAGAAAAAGAAAGAAAAACUAAAUGAUGACGAAGAAGAAUAAGAAAAGUUACCAUUGUUUUGGUACUUAGACUUGUAAAGAAGAUGGAUGCCGUUUAAAUCACUUUCAAGACCUGCAAUGCAUCAAAUGAAAUUAAGAACUAAAUAACAAUUAAGUACUCCAGUUGCUAAUUACUCACUGAUUAAAAAACCUGAGUGCUAAUACAACAGAUAUCUCUAAAUAUCAGCUAAUUAAUCUUUUUAAUGAGCAAAAAUUCCAACCAUAAACAUUUCUAUUUUAUUCAACCACAUUCCAAAUAUUCAGAAUAUAGUCAACAAGAAAAUAAAACUAGAAUCAUGAAUCAAAUGAUACCUCUGUAAAUCAUCCAACUGCAUUAAAAAUGAACAAGUAAUUCUAAUAUAUAUACACAUAAAUCAAAACAAAAUUAACAAGCAAAAACAUAGAAAGAUUAGAUCUUGAAUGAAAGAAUUCACCUCUAUAAUAGGUCUCUGAAGAGAGCUAAAAACAGCUUAUUAAUUUGAUACUCCUUUUCCAAGUUCCAAGCUUUAAGGGAUUGACAAUUAUAUAUGUAUUACUUAUAAUUCCAGGAAAAGGUACAAGUCUACAGAAAUGAACAGGUAAAACCAACCCCAGUUGAAAACGUUUUAUAUUUAUGGCAAGUUGAUUAAAGAAAUAUUAAAAAUAAAAGUUGAAGAAAAAGCCAAGAUUGAAUAUGUCAGCUGUCUUUAUCAAAA
rnacentral:lncRNA from 1 species